CCGGAGCUAACGCGUUAAGUCGACCGCCUGGGGAGUACGGCCGCAAGGUUAAAACUCAAAUGAAUUGACGGGGGCCCGCACAAGCGGUGGAGCAUGUGGUUUAAUUCGAUGCAACGCGAAGAACCUUACCUGGUCUUGACAUCCACGGAAGUUUUCAGAGAUGAGAAUGUGCCUUCGGGAACCGUGAGACAGGUGCUGCAUGGCUGUCGUCAGCUCGUGUUGUGAAAUGUUGGGUUAAGUCCCGCAACGAGCGCAACCCUUAUCCUUUGUUGCCAGCGGUCCGGCCGGGAACUCAAAGGAGACUGCCAGUGAUAAACUGGAGGAAGGUGGGGAUGACGUCAAGUCAUCAUGGCCCUUACGACCAGGGCUACACACGUGCUACAAUGGCGCAUACAAAGAGAAGCGACCUCGCGAGAGCAAGCGGACCUCAUAAAGUGCGUCGUAGUCCGGAUUGGAGUCUGCAACUCGACUCCAUGAAGUCGGAAUCGCUAGUAAUCGUGGAUCAGAAUGCCACGGUGAAUACGUUCCCGGGCCUUGUACACACCGCCCGUCACACCAUGGGAGUGGGUUGCAAAAGAAGUAGGUAGCUUAACCUUCGGGAGGGCGCUUACCACUUUGUGAUUCAUGACUGGGGUGAAGUCGUAACAAGGUAACCGUAGGGGAACCUGCGGUUGGAUCACCUCCUUACCUUAAAGAAGC
rnacentral:rRNA from 1 species